GUAGCUCAUUGGUAGAGCAACGGCCUUGCAUGCAGAAGGUCCCUGGUUCAAUCCCCAGCAUCCCCA